rnacentral:rRNA from 1 species
UUAACAUGAGAGUUUGAUCCUGGCUCAGGAUGAACGCUGGCGGCGUGCCUAAUACAUGCAAGUCGAACGCGCAGCGAAGAGUGCUUGCACUCUUCAAGCGAGUGGCGAACGGGUGAGUAACACGUGAAUAACCUACCGAAAAGCAGGGGAUAACAUUUGGAAACAGAUGCUAAUACCGUAUAAAACGUGCUGUCGCAUGACAAAACGUUAAAAGGUCCGUUUGGACCACUUUUUGAUGGAUUCGCGGUGCAUUAGUUAGUUGGUGGGGUAAAGGCCUACCAAGACGAUGAUGCAUAGCCGAGUUGAGAGACUGACCGGCCACAUUGGGACUGAGACACGGCCCAAACUCCUACGGGAGGCUGCAGUAGGGAAUCUUCCACAAUGGGCGAAAGCCUGAUGGAGCAACGCCGCGUGUGUGAUGAAGGCUUUCGGGUCGUAAAGCACUGUUGUAUGGGAAGAACGG